rnacentral:rRNA from 1 species
AAUAGAUACCCCGGUAGUCCACGCCGUAAACGAUGAAUACUAGGUGUAGGGGUUGUCAUGACCUCUGUGCCGCCGCUAACGCAUUAAGUAUUCCGCCUGGGGAGUACGGUCGCAAGAUUAAAACUCAAAGGAAUUGACGGGGGCCCGCACAAGCAGCGGAGCAUGUGGUUUAAUUCGAAGCAACGCGAAGAACCUUACCUAGACUCGACAUCUCCUGCAUUACCCUUAAUCGGGAAAGUUCCUUCGGGGACAGGAAGACAGGUGGUGCAUGGUUGUCGUCAGCUCGUGUCGUGAGAUGUUGGGUUAAGUCCCGCAACGAGCGCAACCCUUAUUGUUAGUUGCUACCAUUUAGUUGAGCACUCUAGCGAGACUGCCCGGGUUAACCGGGAGGAAGGUGGGGAUGACGUCAAAUCAUCAUGCCCCUUAUGUCUAGGGCUACACACGUGCUACAAUGGCAAGUACAAAGAGACGCAAUACCGCGAGGUGGAGCAAAACUCAAAAACUUGUCUCAGCUCGGAUUGUAGGCUGAAACUCGCCUACA